GUGGGAUUUGUCUAUGGAAUUUCCCCUGCAAUGUGAUUUUUACUCGCUUAUUAACUUGUGUACAUUUAUUUUAGUGGAGUUUGUGUUUAGUUUAAGUGCAGCUGCUACGGAAAUUGCUUCGCGGGUUCAGCCCUCUUAAGUGGCAGCAAUGAAUGGCUGAACAAAACUCUUUAGUAUGGUACUACCUUGCCAAAAUUAUAUUGUUCCGAGACAUGCAAAAAUGUGGAUCUAUUAAAAUAGAAAACUUAAGAAUUAUUUCUUGAACAUAUUUAAUGUCUCUAAUUUUGGCCUACGGCGGUUAAGAUAAGGUUAACGAUAAACAUGACCUUUAGCACAGUGAAAGGUAUGUAAACUUUUACCGCUAUUAUUACUAUUAAUGUAGAGCUCAUUAUCACUGCCAUUACCUCAUUACAUUUUUCCAGUAGCAAAUUGUAGGCACAUAAAAGGUGAAUGUUAAGAUUAUUAGCUUAUCCGCCUCGAUGUUGUUUCCUGGUAUAUAAAUGUGAACGUUUAAGCAAGCCAUCGACGGCUAGGCAGUCGCCAUAAGACAGGCAUUGUGCUAACAGGUCAUUCCUCACUCCCUAAUUUACUUUUGUGCUAACAGGUCAUUUCUCACUCCCUAAUUUACUUAUUGUGCUAACAGGUCAUUCCUCACUCCCUAAUUUACUUUUGUGCUAAUAGGUCAUUUCUCACUCCCUAAUUUACUUAUUGUGCUAACAGGUCAUUCCUCACUCCCUAAUUUACUUAUUGUGCUAAUAGGUCAUUUCUAACUCCCUAAUUUACUUAUUGUGCUAACAGGUCAUUCCUCGCCCCCUAAUUUACUUAUUGUGCUAACAGGUCAUUCAUCACUCCCUAAUUUACUUAUUGUGCUAAUAGGUCAUUCCUCACUCCCUAAUUUACUUAUUGUGCUAACAGGUCAUUUCUCACUUCCUAAUUUACUUAUUGUGCUAACCGGUCAUUCCUCACUCCCUAAUUUACUUAUUGUGCUAACAGGUCAUUCCUCACUCCCUAAUUUACUUUUGUGCUAACCGGUCAUUCCUCACUCCCUAAUUUACUUAUUGUGCUAACAGGUCAUUCCUCACUCCCUAAUUUACUUAUUGUGCUAAUAGGUCAUUUCUCACUCCCUAAUUUACUUAUUGUGCUAACAGGUCAUUCAUCACUCCCUAAUUUACUUAUUGUGCUAACAGGUCAUUCAUCACUCCCUAAUUUACUUAUUUUGGUCUACUUGAAAAUUCGCAAUUUAUCUUCAAUAAAACGUAGCUUGUAUUGUGUGGGGAGCGCGUGUGUAGCGUAAGUUUCGUCAUUGUAUGCUGAGAUAACCAAUACUUCUCUACUUUAAUGAACUAUUUAGCCCAUGCAUUGUUUCUGUGACGUACCUUGUAAGUGUUUUGUAUAUAAAGAUGAUUAGUAAACUUUUCGUUUCGGGAA
rnacentral:lncRNA from 1 species